rnacentral:rRNA from 1 species
AUUGAACGCUGGCGGCAUGCUUUACACAUGCAAGUCGAACGGUAACAGGUUAAGCUGACGAGUGGCGAACGGGUGAGUAAUGCAUCGGAACGUGCCCGGUCGUGGGGGAUAACGCAGCGAAAGCUGCGCUAAUACCGCAUACGAUCUGAGGAUGAAAGCGGGGGACCGUAAGGCCUCGCGCGAUCGGAGCGGCCGAUGUCAGAUUAGGUAGUUGGUGGGGUAAAGGCCUACCAAGCCGACGAUCUGUAGCUGGUCUGAGAGGACGACCAGCCACACUGGGACUGAGACACGGCCCAGACUCCUACGGGAGGCAGCAGUGGGGAAUUUUGGACAAUGGGCGCAAGCCUGAUCCAGCAAUGCCGCGUGCAGGAAGAAGGCCUUCGGGUUGUAAACUGCUUUUGUACGGAGCGAAAAGGCUCUCUCUAAUACAGGGGGUUCAUGACGGUACCGUAAGAAUAAGUACCGGCUAACUACGUGCCAGCAGCCGCGGUAA